GUGAUUGAUGAAUGUGACCUCACUGUCUCUGGAAAGAACCUGCAGUGCUACUGCGAGAGCUGAUGCCUUCUCAAACACUGAUCGGCAGGGGUCCCGGGUGUCAUACCCCCGCCGAUCAGAUACUGAUGACCUAUCCAGAGUAUAGGUCAUCAUUAUAAAAGUC